rnacentral:rRNA from 1 species
CAGCCGCCACGGUAAUACGAAGGGGGCUGGCGUUGCUCGGAAUGACUGGGCGUAAAGGGCGCGUAGGCGGAUUGUUUAGUUAGGCGUGAAAUUCCUGGGCUUAACCUGGGGACUGCGCUUAAUACAGGCAGUCUAGAGUGAGGAAGAGGGUUGUGGAAUUCCCAGUGUAGAGGUGAAAUUCGUAGAUAUUGGGAAGAACACCGGUGGCGAAGGCGGCGACCUGGUCCUUGACUGACGCUGAGGCGCGAAAGCGUGGGGAGCAAACAGGAUUAGAUACCCCUGUAGUCCCUGUCUCUUAUAC